UAAGGCAAUCUAGAGGGGGAAGGUGGCGAGGCGGGCGACAUAUAAGCCCGCUGAGCGAUAGAGAGGGGAGAACGGAUCGCGGGCGAACGGAUCGAGAGAAAUGGAGUACGCAACACGUAACCCCUCUGAGAACUCAAGUCUUAAUAUAUCGAUUGAUAGUUGAAAGUAAAGCCAAUGUUACACCUUUCACUUGAUUUCCAAGUAAAAUCAUGAUUUUCUGAAUGGUAAAAAUAAUAUACAAAACUUAUCUGAGUUAUGGACCAUUUUAAAAGUUUGAUGUUAGUACUCAAUUUUUUAAUCGGUUAAAAUACAGAAAACUCUUUUGUAAAUAUCCAUUUUUCACUUUUCUUCCCUAAUUUUCAAAAACCUAUAUUUUCUUCCUUUAAACUUUCAGAAAUAUUUUUUUAGGAGGUACGAUAUUAAUGUAGAGGGCAAAAUAACCAAAUUAUCCUUUACUUUUUUAUUAAAAAAAUAAUUUUUUUAAUAUAUUUAUGUCAUUUUGAAGGUCAAUUUUAGUAUAAAUUAUAAGAAAUAGAUGGAGUAGUGAUAGAAUUAUGACUGAGGGGGCUUAAAUGCAACAACUUGAAAUGUUGAGGGGUAAAUUUUAGGUUUUGAAAGUUAGGAAGGAAAAGUGAAAGAGUGGGUAUUUUAAUAUUUUUUUUUUUGUAAUAUAGCCUUUUUAAUUUAUUUGAUUUGAGUCGAUCAAUGGUACUUUUAACUUCAAAAAUUGAAUGUAUUGUGUAUUCUUAUGAAUCUAGUUAAUAUACUUUAUGUAAUUCUUGUAAUUAUAAAUUUACUAUAGUAAGUAAUAGACUUAAAUUUUUUUCUUUGAGAGAAAGGUAACAUGUUAUCUGCUUCAUUUAUUUUUUUAGAAAAGAACUUGGCUGGAAAUGUGAAUUAAGUAGGAUUCGAACUUGGGACCACCAAAUUCUUUAUCACUUGCACUAGGGACGGUCAGUAAUAUAAUAGACUUAAAAUUUAAAGUCAAGGUAUCGUCGAUCGGCUCAAAUUAAACAAAUUAAAAAAUUAGGUAGUAAAAAAAUUAAAAUUUUAAAAGAUUGCGUAUCUGAUUAAAAUGACCAUAG
rnacentral:lncRNA from 1 species